rnacentral:rRNA from 1 species
UACGUAGGGGUCGAGCGUUGUCCGGAGUUACUGGGCGUAAAGCGCGCGCAGGCGGCCGUCUAAGCCCACCGUGAAAGCCCCCGGCUCAACCGGGGAGGGUCGGUGGGGACUGGGCGGCUUGAGGGCGGCAGGGGUCGGUGGAAUCCCCGGUGUAGUGGUGAAAUGCGUAGAGAUCGGGGGGAACACCCGUGGCGAAGGCGGCCGGCUGGGCCGACUCUGACGCUGAGGCGCGAAGGCGUGGGGAGCGAACGGG